AAUGCCCAGUAACGGCGAGUGAGCGGCAAAAGCUCAAUUUGAAAUCCUGCGGGAAUUGUAAUUUGAAGGUUUCGUGGUCUGAGUCGGCCGCGCCCAAGUCCAUUGGAACAUGGCGCCUGGGAGGGUGAGAGCCCCGUCCGGCGCACGCCGACUCUUUGCACCGCGGCUCCGACGAGUCGAGUUGUUUGGGAAUGCAGCUCUAAGUGGGUGGUAAAUUCCAUCUAAAGCUAAAUAUUGGCGAGAGACCGAUAGCGAACAAGUACAGUGAUGGAAAGAUGAAAAGCACUUUGAAAAGAGAGUGAAACAGCACGUGAAAUUGUUGAAAGGGAAGGGCUUGCAAGCAGACACGGUUUUACCGGGCCAGCGUCGGAGGGAGAGGAAGAAAAAUAGGGAAAGAAUGUGGCGCGUAUCUUCGGGUGCGCGUGUUAUAGCUUUCUCCGACGCUUCCAUUUCCU
rnacentral:rRNA from 1 species